rnacentral:rRNA from 1 species
AGCCGCCGCGGUAAUACGUAGGGUGCGAGCGUUAAUCGGAAUUACUGGGCGUAAAGCGUGCGCAGGCGGUUUUGUAAGACAGGCGUGAAAUCCCCGGGCUCAACCUGGGAAUGGCGCUUGUGACUGCAAAGCUAGAGUGCGGCAGAGGGGGAUGGAAUUCCGCGUGUAGCAGUGAAAUGCGUAGAUAUGCGGAGGAACACCGAUGGCGAAGGCAAUCCCCUGGGCCUGCACUGACGCUCAUGCACGAAAGCGUGGGGAGCAAACAGGAUUAGAUACCCCUGUAGUCCCUGUCUCUUAUACA